UGCAGAAUCCCGCGAACCAUCGAGUCUUUGAACGCAAGUUGCGCCCGAGGCCUUUUGGCCGAGGGCACGCCUGCCUGGGCGUCACGCCAAACACGCUCCCACCCAACUAAACAUGGUGUGGGAUGCGGCAUGUGGCUCCCCGUCUCGCAAGGGGCGGUGGGCCGAAGAUCCGGCUGCCGGCGUAUCGUGCCGGACACAGCGCGUGGUAGGCGAUCUCGCUAUACUAAACGCAGUGCAUCCGGGGUGUAGCCGACGCAAUGCCCUCAUGGACCCUCACAACGGAGCGCACGACGCUUCUACCGCGACCCCAGGUCAGGCGGGACUACCCGCUGAAUUUAAGCAUAUAAAUAAGCGGAGGAGAAGAAACUUACAAGGAUUCCCCUAGUAACGGCGAGCGAACCGGGAACAGCCCAGCUUGAGAAUCGGGUGGCUGUGCCGUCCGA
rnacentral:rRNA from 1 species